GAGUAUUCUCCCUCAAACAGUUUGAAGGUUAGAGAUCCCUUGUUGUGCAUUCACUUGCCUCCAUGGCUAAGUGGCUUAACCCCAACUAUGCCGUGGACACCCUCCUUUUGGAGUGACUUUUUGAAGGAUUAUUUUGUGAAAACAAGUUCAUUUAAGCAACAUCAAUAAGCAUGCAAUUAACAAUUAAAGGCGGAAUCAUGCUUGCAUGCACUUAAAAACAAAACUUUAACCAUGAAAUUCAAAGCCUAGUAGAUUGGUGAACCAAAACUCAACUCAAAACAAAGUGAGUUGAAAUUUAUACCUUUGUAGAUUCCUCUUUGCAUAAGCAAAGGCUAAUCACCCAAAGAGAGGGCCUUCAUUCCUUGCAUCUAAAAUCUAUGGAUUUGGAUGGAUGAAUAGGUUUCUCCAAGUUCCCAAAAUUGAGAACCUCUAAGUCUCUUCACCAAGGAGAGAUUGGAGAAGAAAUGAGUGACCUUGGAGUAGUGGGAUUGCAAGAUGCACCACCCAAGGUGGCCGGCCUCUUUAGAGAGAAAUGGAGAGACAAGUUCUCACCAAUUUUCUCCAAAACAAACCCUUAAUGAAUUUUGGCUAUAAAGUCAUAUUUAUACAUUUAUUCAUUUGAGUGGCAAACUUGUAAAUAAGUCCAAGUUCACUACCCUAAACAAUAUGGCCGGCCAUUAGGAUAUUUUGGACUAAUUGGGCCUUUGUGAAUCAUUAUUCAUUAAGUUGUCAUACAACUUACGUUAAUGGGCUUGACGUUCGAAGCCCAUUGGGCCUUAAGGUCCAAAACUAUCCCGAGGUCUUUAACGAACUUAUUCGUUUGAUUAAUUAACAUAUUAAUUAAUCCUUGCCAUAAAUAAAUGAUUAAACCAUUUAAUCAUUCUUACUCAUCUCCAUUGUUUCUUCAAUCUCCACCUUACACGGUGUGCGAUCCAUUAGGUUCCUUUUAGCGAGGCAGUGGGCGAUUAAAACCAUUUUACAUCGAUUGUGAAUUGAAACUUACUUUCAAUUCUCCCUUUAGUGAUUACACACGUUUAGGGCUUCCACAAACCAUGAGUGACACCUUGCAACAUAUCAUGGUUACCCAAGCUAAUCAGAAGAGGUAGAGAAAACCUAUUCAGUUUCGGAUUACAAAUGCAAUACGGUCUUUCUCUAAUACAAUACUCUUGACCACAUUGUUUGGUUUGAUAGUUUAUUUAUUCAUGUCUACUAUCCAAUGUGAUUCGUGUGCUUAUAUGAUUACCUUGAAUGUGAUUUGGAACGCUUUCCUAAAUCUCAUUCAUACUCUGGCCAGAGAUUCUAAAUCAUAUCAUAGAGUAUUCUCCCCCAACGGUUUGAAGGUUAGAGAUCCCUUGUUGCGCAUUCACUUGCCUCCAUGGCUAAGUGGCUUAACCCCAAUGAUGCCGUGGACACUCCAAUGUAAUGACGUUUGACAUAAUCAAAGAUCAAGGACUUAACCACAAGACAACUGUGAUGCCUCAGGUCAAAUGACUACUUUGCAUUAUCCCAACCAUGAGUUCUCACUUUGCAUUAUCCCAACCAUGAGUUCUCAUGUGACAUGAGUAUGCGAACUCUUCGUUGAUCGCGUUCAGUGAACUCAUUCUCUACUGAGCACCUACGUACUUGUCUUGAUGUCACACACACCAAUGACUCGAGACUAGUCACUCUCCCUGAGAGAAGACAUAGCAAAUACCGAUCUUGACGGACUGUCAAUGCCCAAUUAGCAAUCCUAUGAUCAGGAACAUUUAGGAUGUGUCUACGAAAGAAUGGUCUCAUGAAUCUAACUUCAUUAGAUUACAUUCUCCCAAUCACAUAUUCCUUGGACUUUAUCGUUUAAGCAUAUAACAUUUAUAUGGGACAGCUCAAACAAUAAUCUAUGCCCUUUAUAUGUAAACUAGAUUAGUUUAACAUGUGAAAUGUCCGUAAAGUAUCAUCAUAUGAUUGGCUUUAGGGCACAUUUCCAACACUUUUGAUAUAAUCAAAGAUCAAGGAUUUAACCACAAGACAACUAUGAUGCCUCAGGUCAAAUGACUACUUUGCAAUAUCCCAACCAUGAGUUCUCAUGUGACAUGAAUAUGAGAACUCUUCGUUGAUCGUGUUCAGUGAACUCAUUCUCUAUUGAGCACCUACGUACUUGUCUUAAUGUCACACAUGCCAAUGACUCGAGACUAGUCACUCUCCCUGAGAGAAGACACAGCACGUACUGAUCUUAACGGACUGUCAAUGCCCAAUUGGCAAUCCUAUGAUCAGGAACGUUUAGGAUGUGUCUACGAAAGAAUGGUCUCAUGAAUCUAACUUCUUUAGAUCGCAUUCUCCCAAUCACAUAUUCCUUGGACUUAUCGUUUAAGCAUAUAACAUUUAUAUGAGACGACUCAAACAAUAAUCUUUGCCCUUGAUAUUUAAACUACAUUAGUUUAACUUGUGGAAUAUCCGUAAAGUAUCAUCAUAUGAUUGGUUUUAGGGCACAUUUCCAACAAUCUCCCACUUGCACUAAAGCCAAUCAGCUUGGUCAUCAGUGAUGAUACCUCUUCUGUAGUCAUUUCAUAAAUGGCUGAGUAGUAGGCCUAGACAAUGGAUAUCUAUAUGUUAUCCAUAGAAGCAACCUUGAGAAUAAUGACGUCACCAUUAUACAUGAUUCUUAAUCAUGUGGUUCAGUCUCUCAUUUGAGUUCGGAUCUUGAUGAGACCUUGAUUCCCUGGCUUGAGCUAUUGCCCCAUUAGUGUCGUAGUGUCGGUACACUAGAGACACUUUCUGGUUGGAACCGAAUAGAGAGUUCAUAAAUGAACUUUCCCAUCCAAACAACAAUGUUGUAAGCUUCUAUAUGGCAAUAUAUAUUUUGCAUUCAUAAUGGAACAUACUAAAGUCAUUACUUUUAAUGUUUCCAUCCAAAUAUCUCUUUAGUCAUAAUAAAAAAGAUAUCUAAUUAUCUCUUCAUUCAUAAUGAAGAAACAUCCAAUGAUGGAUUAGAUUCAUAAUCUAAUACAUUUACACUUCCUUUACGUUGCUCUAAUUCUUCCUCAUUCUUUGAGGAAUCUAUCCUUUAGUAUUUCUUAAAUACUUAAGGACUCACUUGACAGUUGCCAUGGUUCUGAUCCUGGGCUUGCACUGAUAUCCUCUUGUACAGUUCUAGGCACAACUCAUAUCAAUGUUUUUCAUACAAUAUGAAAUACAUAAAUCACCUUUAUGCGUAUGCAUAAAGGAUUCUAUUUACGCAUUAUUUCUUUGGGAGUCAAAGAGUACGUUCUCUUUGAGAAGAGCAACUUCUUAGUCUCACUAAAGUUGUCCUUCGAAUUGAAGUUUAUCAUCAUAUGAGAAACUUCCUAGCAUCUAUUGUCUAUUAUUAGGGAUUGAUAUAAUCAAAUUAUAUCAUGAAAUAUAUCAUUAUAGAUUUCCAUCCCAUGUAUAUAGACUAUAUCUCCCAUAUUCAUUCUAUCUUCAUAUAAUGUUUUAAAGUCAUAACUUUAACGAAGAAGAAUUCUUUUCAUUUCCAAAAUUAAUAUAUCAAAUAUAUAUUUAAAUUUUAGGAACAUGAUUAACUCCCACUAAUCUUUUGUAAACCUAGUAAACAAAAGAUUCAUUUACAUCUUUAUGAGAAAUCAAACGAUUUGAUCAUUUUCUCAUAAGAUGCUCAUAGCUCCCACUAGCUUGCUUAGAUUCAUGAUGGAUGGAUCUUUACAACUUACAUGUCUUGUGAUUCAUAGUUUUAGACAUAUAUUAUCAAGACUAUCUUAAUAAUGGUUUCGGAAACCUAUAUUAUGUCCAAACAUUGAAUCACCAUUUAGUUGUAGCUAGCUAUCCUCAAAUUAAUUGAAACCAAGACUACGUCAAAGAUGGUUUCUUCAAAGUCAACCAUUCUUUUUUAUUGUAGUUAUCUUAAGCUACCAAUUAGCUUAUGAAGGUUUCAUUAUUUCGGGUCAAAUGGUGCUUUACCAUUUCCUUGAGUAUAUAUCAUAUAUACACUCAAUGUAGUCAUAAGAAUUUUCAUUCUUAUUUCUUUCGAAUUAAGAGGUGUAACUCUAUGACAUAGUCAUAAAGUUCCAACCAUUCAACUCAGACGGUUUAUAAAUCCUUCUCGACUACCUUGGAGUUUGUGGUAUAGGAACUAGGUUGUUAUAUUUGUUGAUCACUAUCUUGUUUCUUAAAGAACCAUUCUUUGAGUUCUAUCCCUCGUUCAUUUGCUCUAUCUUGGGCAAAUCCUAGUGUAGGAUUACAAUGAACUACCCAACAAAACAACAUUUGUUAGUUGGUUUAUAGAAGCGAUAUCCAAAAGUUAAUUUAAGGAUAUCCCACAAGACUGUUAUCAAACAAAUAUUGCUUAUUAGCACACAACCCCAAAUCUUAACAUGAUUAAGAUUUGUCUUUCUUUCCAACUACAUCUUAUGGAGUCAUGAAAAAAAAUUUUUUUGGAAGAUCUUCUAAUUGACAAUCAUAUUGUCUUAGAAGUAUAUAUCCUAUAUAUGGGUAAUUGAUAAUAUCCAAUGAACUAAAUCUUAUUCAAGUUCGUUCUUCUCCUUAUGGAGAAAUCCAUUAUCAUAUGAUGCUUCUUUCCUUGAUAUCUUUCAAGGAAACUAUUCUAAAGUGUUACCUUUCCUUGGAUCAAAUCUAAGGAGGCAAAUACUUUAGACGUCUUACUCAUCAACUUACAUUUCUUGAAUUCUUUGAAAACUUUUGCAAAGUAUUCGGACUUGUGUUUAUUUAAAAUAAACUAUAGUCCAACCGAGGGUGAUCUUCGGUGAAUGUCAUACAACAUGAGUAGUAUUAUGUUGUGGAUAAGUGCCACUAACAUCUAAGUGAAUCAACCUCAACAACUUUGUGAUUCUUUAUUCUUUCCAAAAGAAUAAAGAUUCAAACAUUUUGCCUCUAUACAAUUUUAACAAGAAGGUAUUGAAUCCAGAUCUAACGAUCCAAAGCAUCCAUCUAUGACCAACUCGUAAUUUAUGUUUUUAGAGGUAUCACAACUCAGUUGGGAUUAGUCACUACCUUGCAACCUUUUGGGUUUAAGCAUCAUUGUAUUCUAAACAGUUAACACUACCAUAUCAUCUCUACUAUAGAGACAAUCAAUUAGAUUACUAUAAUCCAAUCAUUGAUUAAUAAAGAACAAUGUUUUGUCAAACAAAACAUUCAUCCAUCUCUACUAUAGUGACGGAAUUAAGUUCCUUAAAAUUGGAAUGUAAAGACAAUCUUUGGUUUUUCCAAUUUCUUUGGUAGUUCAUAUGAGGAAGUAAGUACUAUCUGCUUUUGCAGAGAUCUUUAUUUUAUUCACGUUCCGAAUGUGAAGCACCUUUUUCUUCUCUCAUAUAUCUUCUACUUCUUAUUAGUCACACUUUUACAACGAUUGUAAAACAUAGUUACUAAUACGGAAUCAAGCAUUCAAGUAGGAGAACCAACUGUUUUGAACUUUUCAAGAACAAUUUACAACACCUUCGAAAGGUGUGUUCUUGACACUUGCAAGACAUUUCUUGCAAAUACCCCUUCCAAUGUCCAUCCUUUCAUAAAGAAAGAUUGUUCCCUUGGAGUUAAUUUUAUUUUCUUUAUUUGACUUCUCCUUUGACUACAAUAGUCAUGGUCCCUAAACUCCCACUAUCUCUCUUGAAACUUAUUUCAAUUGUGUUAUACACAUCAAACGAUUUGGAGAGCGUGUGGUUAUUGUUCACUAUAUAGUUUACAAUAAACUUAGUGAACCAUUUGGAUAGGGACACAAAGGUGAAGUCCUUGCCUAGUUUCCGUUUCUAGAAGUGGUUUAACACUUCAACACUCAAUGAUUCAAAAUCAUCAUAAGUCCAUGUUGAUGGACUAUUUUUGUCAACCAACCAUUAUGUUCUAAACAUAAUUACAAACUUUCAAGAGUUGUUCAAGGCAACUCUCAUUUCUUCAUACAACAAUUUGUAAGUGAAGAAUCAUGGCACAUAAAGUGUCCAUGCCUUUGUGCUUUCUUCUUAAGUUCUUUGUUCAUUUAACAAAGAAACAAGCACUAGUGUUUGCAUUGACUAAGGGUUGUUCAAAGCAACUCUUAUUUCUUCAUACAACAAUUUGUAAUUGAAGAAUUAUGACAUUAAAAGUGUUAUCCUCUUUAUGAUAGACUUUUUCUAACAUAUUCUUCUAAUGAUACAUUAUCAAUAGGAAGAUUGUGAGGAUGAGACUACUUAGGUACAUUUACAAGCCAUUAAAGACAAUCUAUGGUUUUGUAGUACCAAGUCCGGAAAUUAAAGAUUUCGGCUUUUAUUUGUCAAGUGUUGGAUAGCGUUUGCAAAUAUAUUGGUAAAUAAAUACAUAACGAAUAUAAAUCGAUUGAUUUUAAGCCAUUUGAUUCGGGUCUUUAAAUCAAAUAGCACCACCCACUAUUUUUGGCAAAUUCCAUAUCCCUCAUCGGAAUUCGAGAGUUUUGGAGGAAACUCUUAGUAGGGUAUGGGAGACUCACCAUUACCAAGCCCACCUCAGAAGAAAAUCAUAUUGGCUAGCGUUAAUAAUAAUGAGAGAGUACGCUUACUCAUUUGCAUCUCUUGCAAGUACCCAUCUAGUUUGGCCUCUAGAGAAUGAUGCCUCAGAAGAAUAUCAUAUUGGCACAUUGCACUUAGUUAAGUCAUUCCCACCAUGCUAGUUAAAGUAGGGGUUCAAGAAUGGCCUCAGAAGAAAAUCAUAUUGACCAUACUCGUUGCCUACCUUUACAUCAUCAUAUGUUUAUAGGCUUCUCCUGAAUGUAAGCACAUAUUUUGCAACCCCAGAACUGGAUGAAUACGGUGUAUGAGUCACAAACGAUUGAAGCCUACCACGGUGGAAGGCCACGAAAGAGUGUUCAAAGCACUCUCACGCUUAUUAACUUAAUAAUGGUUUGGUUGAGGGUUUUAGGUCUCAUCAUAUAUAAACAUACAUUUUAAUCUUAUUAAAACAAUUUUGGUCCUAUUACAACUAUUGGUCCAUUUGAUUGUUUAGUUGUAUAUAAUACUCCCACUAUGCUUAUAAAACGGUUUUUAAAGCAAGAGUAUAUGAUACUACUAACAUAAGGUUUGCAUUCAUUUGAUGGACUAUAUAGUUGCCUUAGGGCCUUAGGAUGACUAUGAACCUUUGUUUAGAUUCAACACGAGCCUAGUGUUGAAUCUCGGUCUAGGGAUGGUGAUUGAUUUUAGUUACGCGUUUAAUCACAUUAAGGCGUGUUGUCUUAGGGGCGUUGUACCCUCUACUCCAUUUUCAUGCAUAUCAAAUAAUACAAGAAAGGAGUACUUCAAAGUAAAGAAGAGCUUAUUCUCUUUUACAACAAUUGAUCAAAAUAAAUUACUUUAAAGUAAAGAAGAGCUUAUGCUCUUUUACAACAUUUGAUCAAAUCAAAUUACAACCAAAAUCUAAUCUACACAUUCCCAUGGUUCAAACAAAUUUGAAACGGCCUUUCACAUAGCUCAAUUAUCGUAGGCUUAGGUUCAUAAUCACCCUUUCUUUAAUCAAUUAACGCUUUAACCAAUUAAAAUUUGAAUGCAACAUUUUCAUUUGGUUUUUGUAUCCAUAGAAUUGAUUUAAAUGGAGCUAAAUGAAAUGAAAAUCCAAUUCUCAUUUAAAGAGACAAAACAAUUUUGUUCUCAACCUAAUUUGGGCCAAUAUGCAAUUACCACAACCUUUGGGCUAUAUUGCAAAAACAUAAACUUUUGGGGUCACUUUGUAAAACACAAAAGUCCACUACUUCAUGUAAUUACAACUAGAACCCAAAAUUUAAACAAUGCAAAAACUUCAUUAAAGGAGCAAAACAAUUUGUCCUUUAGCGUUUUUGGACCUAAACGUAAAAACGUAAACUUUUGGGCCAAAGUGCAAAUACACAAAAGUAUCAAAACUUUAUGUAAUUGCAUAAAAGCCCCAAAAGUACUCCCAUUGAGGGAAUGGCCGGUUUUAGGAGAGAUGAACCCACAAAAUUUUGAAAAUUUUUCAACAAAGUCAUAAAGUCAUAAAGUCAUGCAAGUUGAAAUUGGUUGGUGGGAACAUGUGUGUAAGAAAGAAAAAACAAUUAUGUACAUAAAUUCAAACACUCUUACAACAUUUUCAAUCACCUUUUCAAUUAAUUAAAUGUCUUGUUGAUAGAUAAUUCACACCAACCAACACAAAACAAAGACUUUAUGAAAUCAUCCAAAACUUUGAAUCAAAACACCAAACUUUUUGUUCUUGGCAAAAAUGUCAAGAAUAAUGAAGAACACUCAUGAAAAAACUCAAAAAUUUCCAUGAACAUUUUUCACCCAAAAACAUCCCAAAACCAUUUAAACUUAAGGGAAAUUACAUAUAACCAAACUAGGGUACAUAGGGGUUCCAAAAGUCACCUUAAAACACUUUUAACAAGUCAAACAAGAACCCAAAAAUCCACCCUUUGGAUUUGGCCGAAUUUCCCCAAAGUCUUGGCACCAAAUUUUAGCUCCAAUAUUCAUGCUCAGAAGAACUACAUCUACAACAUUUGAGAUGGCAAAUUUUCUAACAAAAUUUACAUUCAAAGAAACAAGAAUAAAGCUUGUAACAUAUUACAACUUUUAAAUCACAAACUAUGAACUACAAAACCCAAAAGGAUUCACCAACUACUAGACCUAGGCUCUGAUACCACUUGAAGGAAGAUUUGUGAAAAACAUGUUCAUUUAAGCAACAUCUAUAAGCAUGCAAUUAACAAUUAAAGGCGGAAUCAUGCUUGCAUGCACUUAAAAACAAAACAUUAACCAUGAAAUUCAAAGCCUAGAAGAUUGGUGAACCAAGACUCAACUCAAAUCAAAGUGAGUGAGAAAUUAUACCUUUGUAGAUUCCUCUUUGCAUAAGCAAAGGCUAAUCACCCACAGAGAGGGCCUUCAUUCCUUGCAUCUUAGAUCUAUGGAUUUGGAUGGAUGAAAUGGUUCUCCAAGUUCUCAAAAUAGAGAACCUCUAAGUCUCCACACCAAGGUUAGAUUUAAGUAGAAAAUGAGUGACCUAGAGGAAGCAAGAUUGCUAGCUAAAUUCCUCUAGGGUGGCCAGCCUCUUUAGAGAGAAAGGGAGAGACAUGUUCUCUCCAAUUUUCUCCAAAAGAAACCC
rnacentral:lncRNA from 1 species